AGAUUGAACGCUGGCGGCAUGCCUAACACAUGCAAGUCGAACGGGAGUAGCAAUACUCUAGUGGCGGACGGGUGAGGAAUACGUAGGAAUUUGCCCUUAAGUGGGGGAUAACCCGGGGAAACCCGGAUUAAUACCGCAUGACCUCGAAAGAGCAAAGUGGGGGAUCGCAAGACCUCACGCUUUUGGAGAAGCCUACGUCGGAUUAGCUAGUUGGUGAGGUAAUGGCUCACCAAGGCGACGAUCCGUAACUGGUCUGAGAGGAUGAUCAGUCACACCGGAACUGAGAUACGGUCCGGACUCCUACGGGAGGCAGCAGUGGGGAAUAUUGGACAAUGGGCGCAAGCCUGAUCCAGCAAUGCCGCGUGUGUGAGAAGGCCGUUCGGUUGUAAGCUACUUUAAGUUAGGGAAGAAAAAACGUACGACGUCUAACACAGUAGUAGUACUUGUACGGUACCGAACGAGAAUAAGACACCGGACUAAC
rnacentral:rRNA from 1 species